CCCUCAAUGCAAUGGAUCAAAUUUUCUCAACUGGAGGACAGGGUAAAGGGGACCCUUCCUGUCCUUCCGGGACAUACUUGAUGGGAUACACCAUGGACUCCUGGAAGGCCUGGAGGAUGAUUGGAAAAUGACCAGGCUGCCGACCGCGGUUGAUGCGCUCACAAAGGCUGUGAGCCAGCAGGGCCAGGAGGAGCCGUAUGCUGGGUGCAAUUGAACGCAGGCUGGCUGCGGUGGUUGAACUCAAAGGAAGUCAUCCUGCAAACUGGAUGUUUCGGACCUUCUCUCCCCUGAAAGGAUCAUCUGAGAACCAAACUGAGCUG